rnacentral:rRNA from 1 species
AUACUGCUGAGCUAGGGACCGGGAGAGGCCGAGGGUAUUCCCUGGGGUAGGGGUGAAAUCCUGUAAUCCCAGGAGGACCACCUGUGGCGAAGGCGCUCGGCUGGAACGGGUCCGACGGUGAGGGACGAAGGCCUGGGGAGCGAACCGGAUUAGAUACCCGGGUAGUCCAGGCUGUAAACGAUGCGGGCUAGGUGUCGCGGGAGCUACGAGCUCCGGUGGUGCCGGAGGGAAGCCGUUAAGCCCGCCGCCUGGGAAGUACGGCCGCAAGGCUGAAACUUAAAGGAAUUGGCGGGGGAGCACUACAAGGGGUGGAGCGUGCGGUUUAAUUGGAUUCAACGCCGGGAACCUCACCGGGGGCGACGGCAGGAUGAAGGCCAGGCUGAAGGUCUUGCCGGACACGCCGAGAGGAGGUGCAUGGCCGCCGUCAGCUCGUACCGUGAGGCGUCCACUUAAGUGUGGUAACGAGCGAGACCCGCGCCCCCAGUUGCCAGUCCUCCCCGUUGGGGAGGAGGCACUCUGGGGGGACCGCCGGCGAUAAGCCGGAGGAAGGAGCGGGCGACGGUAGGUCAGUAUGCCCCGAAACCCCCGGGCUACACGCGCGCUACAAUGGGCGGGACAAUGGGAACCGACCCCGAAAGGGGAAGGGAAUCCCCUAAACCCGCCCCCAGUUCGGAUUGCGGGCUGCAACUCGCCCGCAUGAAGCUGGAAUCCCUAGUACCCGCGUGUCAU